UACGUAGGGGGCAAGCGUUGUUCGGAAUUACUGGGCGUAAAGGGCGCGUAGGCGGCACAGCAAGUCGGGAGUGAAAGCCCGGGGCUCAACCCCGGAACUGCUUUCGAAACUGCUGAGCUAGAGUACAGAAGGGGCAACCGGAAUUCCCAGUGUAGCGGUGAAAUGCGUAGAUAUUGGGAAGAACACCUGAGGCGAAGGCGGGUUGCUGGGCUGAUACUGACGCUGAGGAGCGAAAGUGUGGGGAGCGAACAGG
rnacentral:rRNA from 1 species